AGUGAACGCUGGCGGUAGGCCUAACACAUGCAAGGCGAACGGCAGCACAGAGGAGCUUGCUCCUCGGGUGGCGAGUGGCGGACGGGUGAGGAAUACAUCGGAAUCUACUCUGUCGUGGGGGAUAACGUAGGGAAACUUACGCUAAUACCGCAUACGACCUACGGGUGAAAGCAGGGGAUCUUCGGACCUUGCGCGAUUGAAUGAGCCGAUGUCGGAUUAGCUAGUUGGCGGGGUAAAGGCCCACCAAGGCGACGAUCCGUACCUGGUCUGAGAGGAUGAUCAGCCACACUGGAACUGAGACACGGUCCAGACUCCUACGGGAGGCAGCAGUGGGGAAUAUUGGACAAUGGGCGCAAGCCUGAUCCAGCCAUACCGCGUGGGUGGAGAAGGCCUUCGGGUUGUAAAGCUCUUUUGUUGGGAAAGAAAUCCAUCUGGUUAAUACCCGGGUGGGAUGACGGUACCCAAAGAAUAAGCACCGGCUAACUUCGUGCCAGCCGCCGCCGUAA
rnacentral:rRNA from 1 species